rnacentral:rRNA from 1 species
GUCGAACGGCAGCGCGGGAGCAAUCCUGGCGGCGAGUGGCGAACGGGUGAGUAAUACAUCGGAACGUGCCCAAUCGUGGGGGAUAACGCAGCGAAAGCUGUGCUAAUACCGCAUACGAUCUACGGAUGAAAGCAGGGGAUCGCAAGACCUUGCGCGAAUGGAGCGGCCGAUGGCAGAUUAGGUAGUUGGUGAGGUAAAGGCUCACCAAGCCUUCGAUCUGUAGCUGGUCUGAGAGGACGACCAGCCACACUGGGACUGAGACACGGCCCAGACUCCUACGGGAGGCAGCAGUGGGGAAUUUUGGACAAUGGGCGAAAGCCUGAUCCAGCCAUGCCGCGUGCAGGAUGAAGGCCUUCGGGUUGUAAACUGCUUUUGUACGGAACGAAACGGCUCUUUCUAAUAAAGAGGGCUAAUGACGGUACCGUAAGAAUAAGCACCGGCUAACUACGUGCCAGCAGCCGCGGUAAUACGUAGGGUGCAAGCGUUAAUCGGAAUUACUGGGCGUAAAGCGUGCGCAGGCGGUAAUGUAAGACAGUUGUGAAAUCCCCGGGCUCAACCUGGGAACUGCAUCUGUGACUGCAUUGCUGGAGUACGGUAGAGGGGGAUGGAAUUCCGCGUGUAGCAGUGAAAUGCGUAGAUAUGCGGAGGAACACCGAUGGCGAAGGCAAUCCCCUGGACCUGUACUGACGCUCAUGCACGAA